UGACGGUACCCAAAGAAUAAGCACCGGCUAACUUCGUGCCAGCAGCCGCGGUAAUACGAAGGGUGCAAGCGUUACUCGGAAUUACUGGGCGUAAAGCGUGCGUAGGUGGUCGUUUAAGUCCGUUGUGAAAGCCCUGGGCUCAACCUGGGAACUGCAGUGGAUACUGGGCGACUAGAGUGUGGUAGAGGGUAGCGGAAUUCCUGGUGUAGCAGUGAAAUGCGUAGAGAUCAGGAGGAACAUCCAUGGCGAAGGCAGCUACCUGGACCAACAC
rnacentral:rRNA from 1 species